GGAGUGGCCCAGUGCUUAUACGCUAGGUUUGAGACCAAGUGGUCCCGGGUUCGAAUCCUGGCUAGAACU